rnacentral:lncRNA from 1 species
UAACCAAGAGACUGACAGAUGGAUAAAAUCCUUUAUUAUUAUUAUUAUUAUUAUUUAUUUUUUUGUACCUUUCCAUUUAUUCCAGAAAAAUUUUCUCUCUCUCUCUAUAUAUAUAUAAAAAAUCAUUACUUCUUUCGGAAUAAAUCCUUAAAAUCAUUUAUUUUAAAACAAGUCUUUUGUUUGUACAGCACUAGUUAAAUACAUUUAUUCUCAGUUUUCUGCCAAAAAAUCACCCCAGAGAAAUUCACAGCUUGGGAUCCAUCCCGGCCCCUUCCAUCCAUUUCUCCUUGAGGAUGAGCUGAGGAUGGAGGAAGGCAAUGAAAAAAUGUGAAUUUUUUUUAUUAUUUAUGCUCAGACACGGCUCCAAAAUCCGAUUUUGGAAGGACAUCCAAAAUCCAAAUCCAAUUUUGCACCCAGUGUCCAGAUGUGCAGAAAAACCCAAACAAAACCAUUGGAAAACCUUGGGAAAACGCUCCUUAAUUCCACUUUUUUCAUCUUUUAUGGAAAGAAAAAGGGGGCAAAAUGUAUUUAUUUUGUCCUGAAUCUCCAAAACCCAAGGGAAUUUUGUUGUUUGUAUUUUCCACAUGGAAGUUUUGGGCCAGGAAAGGAGGAUCCAUGUGGGAAUGCACAGCUCUGCCUCCAAAAGUUGUUUUUUUUUUGUUGUUUUUGUCCCAAACCCUGAUUUAAUUCUAUUCCUUCACCCAUUCCACCAGCUGGCCAGACAAAAGAAUACCAGGAAUCCAAAUUUCCUGAGGGCACAGCCAAAAAUCCUCUUUUCUGGUAAUAAAAAAAAGGGGAAAAAAACGCACUUAAUGUAUGAAUGUCCAAAAUCCAAAGGAAUUUUGCUGUUUGAAUUGUGGGAAUGGGAAAACAGAGCAGGAAAACGGAGCAGAGCCAGAGCAGGGAUGCCCUGGGAGGGUUCCUGCCCUGAUCCAGGCUCUGGGAAGAGCAGAAUUCCUCAGGCAGGCACUGAAGGAGCCGAGUCCUUGUCCAGGUCCUGGCAGGAACAGGGACCAGGAAAAAAUGGAACCGGAAAAAGAAGGAACCAGGAGAG